ACUUAAUUAUUCUAUAUAGUCUGGUAUCUCGUUCAUCUUUUAAUGAGAACAGUAGAGCCAACAGUAGAGACCUGGUUAACUUACAUUUUUACAUUUACAUUCUUUUUCUUUAAAGGACAUUUCAAUUAUCCUCUGAAAUGGAAUAAUCCUCAUUGAAAGCAUGAUACUAGAAGCUCAUGAGGAUUAUUUUCAAAGAAAGCUGUGCAGAAGAGUUGGCUCAGCAGGCUUGGCAUGCUCAAACCAGCUCCUGGGAGAUAACCUACGAGCCCUUGGAAUAGUCUGUGCAAUAGGGGUCCUGGAGCACUCCAUAUCAGUUUGAUCUCUGGCUGGGGAGGAGCUGGAGAUUAAGUAUUUAAGAUCAGCCAUGUAGGUAUUCUGUGCCUACCUGACUGACCCCCAUUAAAGAGUCUGAACACCAAGUCUUGGGUGAGCUUCCCUGGUAAGCAAUACUUCAUGUGUGUUGUCAUGGUAGCAGGGAGAAUUAAGUAUCGCUUCUGUGAGUCCACUGGGAGAAGACAGCUGGAAACUUGUGCCUGCUCUCUCGGGGACUCCACCUCAUGCAUCUUUGGUCUUUGCUGAUUUUAAUUUGUAUCCUUUCAUUAUAAUAAAC
ensembl:lncRNA FBXO38-DT FBXO38 divergent transcript